UUUUCAUAGAAGGGAGUACAAUUCAAUAUUUAAUUUUUAACACCUAGAUAUAUAUGUAUACAUGGAAACAAUUUAUCAGAAAAAUUAUUAUACAUUUAAUGUCUUUUUUGAAAAGUACUCAUUUCUUUGACGCUGACCUGAUGAUGGCCUAGUGCCGAAAUCGAUUGUCUUAGAAUACAAUUAUAUAAAUAAGUGUGUCUUCCAUUUUCUUUCCUAAUUCAUUACCAGACACACUCAUGGAGUUUUUCGU